CCUACGGGUGGCUGCAGUGAGGAAUAUUGGUCAAUGGGCGCAAGCCUGAACCAGCCAAGUCGCGUGAGGGAUGACGGUCCUAUGGAUUGUAAACCUCUUUUGUCGGGGAGCAAGGCCCGCCACGUGUGGCGGGAAGGAGAGUACCCGAAGAAAAAGCAUCGGCUAACUCCGUGCCAGCAGCCGCGGUAAUACGGAGGAUGCGAGCGUUAUCCGGAUUUAUUGGGUUUAAAGGGUGCGCAGGCGGGAGAUCAAUUCAGCGGGAAAAUGUCGGGGCUGAACCCCGGCCGGCCGUUGAAACUGGUUUUCUAGAGUUGGAGAGAAGUAUGCGGAAUUCGUGGUGUAGCGGUGAAAUGCAUAGAUAUCACGAAGAACUCCGAUUGCGAAGGCAGCAUACCGGCUCCAUACUGACGCUGAGGCACGAAAGCGUGGGGAUCGAACAGGAUUAGAUACCCCUGUAGUC
rnacentral:rRNA from 1 species